UCCCUCUUGCUAAAUGUUGUCAGAAUUGAAACUUGCUGGUACACUGUUUCUUGUGUGUAAAUUUUCUCAACUUUCUGUCUUUUCUAUAAAUGGAAAACUUUAAAGAAAACCACAGAUGUGCUCUCAUUCUUAAUACUCGACUUCAGACUACUUCCUCCACUUGAACGCGAUCCUCACCUAGAAAUCAAAAUAAAGGUCUCAGUACAUAUUUAGGGCAGGAGCUGUUAGGGGAGAAGAUAGGAAUGUUGUGGGUCAUUCCUAGGAUUAUGGGUCAUCCCCUAAUUCUUUCAAAUUAUGUGUACUCGACAGACUGAUAUUUAUUGUACUUUUUAUCAGUUAACCUAAAUAGCAUUCCAUAAAUAUGCUUUGUUAUCUAUAAGGAGAAUAAGUAGGAAUUCAUUUUCUUUUAUUUAUGUAAUUUUUUUUUCUACUGAAGUAAUCUUGAGGUUAGGUCUUGUGUCUAAAAGUAUUAUUUAAAGGUCACGUUUAGUAAGUUUGAUGUCAUUCCUAUGAUAGUAUCUCUUGUUUAUCUUAAACAUAAAUAAUAUUGGACUUAUUUCAGAUGUGGCGGGAGUUGGACAGGAGUGUAACUAGAGAACUAAGGAAAGGUGCUGCUGAAUUUGUAUCUGAAUUCUCUCGAGUGUCCUCUGUAUUAUCUACAGGCAGAUCAAAUCUAUAUCAGGACCUACCUGUGAGACAUCAAAAUAAUAUAUACAGAUUUUGAAGGAAAAAAAUAUAUGAUUUGAAAACUCAAUAGUAAAAAUUUCCCUACUGGACUGUUUCCAUGGGAUUUUAGUUGUUUCCCAUUAAAAAUGAUGAGAAAAUCUUUAUUAAAGGAAAAUAUUUCUGUA